CCUGGUGUCCAGGGUUGGACAAAGAGCAUGUGUCCUGCGACAAACCACGGUCCCUUCGAGAGGAUACCUUCUCUUGCCUCCUCCGAGGGUAUCGUUACAUUGUAGAAACCUUUCCCCAAUGCUAUGAAUUGUAGUGGUGGAGUGAUUUUCCAGAUUCUCUGAAGUGACGACUUCAAAUACUCAAUUGAGAAGGACUUCCCUAUCGCCUUUACAAUGAGGGACCUUACCCAUUUUUCAGAAAUCUUCGACGCGUCUUCUUGAGUUAGGCUGAUGAAUGCUUCCAUGGCAGCGUCAUAGUUGGGUGGAGGGGUGGUGGAAACAAUGUUCAUUAACUGGGUGGUAUUGAAUUGCGGUUGGGUGGAGUGGUGGUGUUGGUUCUGAAGGGUUUCUGCAUAGGUUGGUUUGUGGGUUUGGGUUUGGGUUUGGUCAAUUGAUGGGUGGGGGGGGCGGUGGUGGAUGAGAAGCUUGCUAGCUACCUGAGUUUCCUUGGUGGGAUCUGGUGGUUGUGGUGGGGGCUCUCCCUGUCUCUCGCUCUCUCUCUCUCUCUAACAUUUUUUAACUUUUGGGAUUAGUUCACUAGCUUCUUCGCAGUAAAAAAACUCAAUUACUCUCCUCUCUCCUUUCGAAUUCUCUUUCCUCCAUAGCUCCUCCGAAACGUUGUGUCUGUGUCUAAUUCAUCUCUCUCGUGUUCCUUACCUGGUUUUUAUUUAUUAUUUUUUCGUAAAUGGUUAAAGAAUUUUUUCUGAUUUUGUUUGAUUUAUCUGUUAUUAAUUUCUCUUUAUAGGUUUUUGUGAAUUUAUGGGUGUUUUCGUGCUCGUCGGAACAAACCCCGAUCUAUCACCGCCGCCUAAGCCCGUUGCUGCUUCCUUCUUCUCCCCUCAUACGGUCAUUCCUCAUUGCUCACUGCCUCGCCAGCCGGAAUCGACGCAUGGAGGCUACCAACGCCCAGUCACGAGGGUCGUGCCGCCCAUCCCUUCCUCUCUUAGUGAUUGUUGCUUCCCUUGUUCGCCGAAUCGCCGGUGUCAAGUUGCCUGCACGUGAUGUGUCUUGCUUUUAAACUUGGAAAUUACCCUCUACGACAUAGCCAAUCGACGAAAAUCCCAAACCCUUGUUUUCUCUUUCAUUCCACUCCCACUGCCUGGAAGGUGACUCCGCCGAUUCCACCGCCUCGUUGGCAAUUCUUACUCUGGCAAAAUCCUAAUCCCGAAGCCAUGGGGAAUUCAGUUAUGUAUCAAUGCUAACGAGGAGGAAGCAUCCUGAUGCCUUGCGAUUCCGUCUUAAGGUCAGAUGUUGAGAGGUCAAUUCCUUUCCAUCGUCCUGUCAAUCUUCCUGACAAGGAAGUACCCUAGGCCUAAUGCAUCGACAAUUGGGAAGAUAUUUGCACAUUAUUGGCCUCGAACAGAGCUAGGUUUAUCUCGUCACCGAGUCUUAAGGGCGGUCAAGCGGUUCGUUAAUGGCACAAAUGAUGAGUUCGAUAUGCUCAAUGAUCUGAAAUUAUUUUGGAUCUUAUUAUGUAUUGACGGGUAGCAUUUUAGUAUUUUAGGUAUAUUAGGUUGUAUCCUAUUAUGUUUUAUUGGAUGUCAUAUUUAAAAAUUUGGAUCUUAUAUAUUUGUAUUUUACAGUAUAAUCGUAGACGUAUAUAUUUCAGUCUACAACAAUUUUCUAUUUUACAGUACUAUUGUAAACAUAUACAGUACAGUCUAAUAAUUAUAUUCGAUUUUAUAUAAUAUCUAUUUUAAAGUACAA